ACCGAUGGUCCUCCUUGCAGAAAUCGUCCAGACGUUUAUUUUGGCCCUACAAACCAUAUGGAUGAUGGAAUAUAUGAAGCCGUUGCAGGAAGUGACUUUGUCAUUACUAGGGUUGCAUUUCGAGACAACUCUUCAAAUGUCUACAUAAAUGACCGUGGAAGUAAUUUUACAGAGGUCACUAAGAAAUUGAAAGGAAAAUGAGUGGACUUGGACAACUAUCGAUUUUUUAUUCUUCAGGGUAAAGUCGAGCAAAUUUCUCUAAUAAAGCCAAAGAUUUGUAUUUUCAGCAUUAUUGUAAUUGUAAUUGAUUGAAUAAAGGAUUGUAAUUGAUUGUAAU